GACGAACGCUGGCGGCGUGCCUAAUACAUGCAAGUAGAACGCUGAAGGAGGAGCUUGCUUCUCUGGAUGAGUUGCGAACGGGUGAGUAACGCGUAGGUAACCUGCCUGGUAGCGGGGGAUAACUAUUGGAAACGAUAGCUAAUACCGCAUAAGAGUAGAUGUUGCAUGACAUUUGCUUAAAAGGUGCAAUUGCAUCACUACCAGAUGGUCCUGCGUUGUAUUAGCUAGUAGGUGGGGUAACGGCUCACCAAGGCGACGAUACAUAGCCGACCUGAGAGGGUGAUCGGCCACACUGGGACUGAGACACGGCCCAGACUCCUACGGGAGGCAGCAGUAGGGAAUCUUCGGCAAUGGACGGAAGUCUGACCGAGCAACGCCGCGUGAGUGAAGAAGGGUUUCGGAUCGUAAAGCUCUGUUGUAAGGGAAGAACGAGUGUGGGAGUGAAAAGUUCACACUGUGACGGUAGCUUACCAGAAAGAGACGGCUAACUACGUG
rnacentral:rRNA from 1 species